AAAAACUUCACGAUGUCAGCUGUAUUUUGUUGUCGCUGUAAUGCUGCUCUACUCAGUUCUGAUUUCGCCUGCACCGGGCACCGCGGCGAACCUUCCAGCGGGUCUGGACGCCGACCUCAGCCAGGGGCAGAGCAGAUUGAAUUCGAUUAGCACAAACAGUGGACCCGUAUGAUCCACACGCAACCCAAACGGAUCCGUCGGACGGCGGCGGUGCCAGAUUUCGCCGGCAGUAGCAGCCACAUCCCUAAUGACAUAAUCUUCUUCCAAAUUCUCAUACUGCUUCCUGUCAAGUGCCUUGUGCGCCUCCACUCCGUUUGCAAGAGUUGGCGCGCCGCUAUACUCAGCACUCAUUUUAUCCACUGCCACCUGGAGCAUUCCAGGACUAGAUUGUCAAUGGUUGUCAUGCCCCGAAGGUACGAGGUGUACCAUAAGAAGUUUGGCCUUCUUGGUGUCAAUUUCUACAGUUCCCAGCCUGGGCAAAGCAAGGUUGCCAAGCUCAUCCUACAGAAGAGGUGUCCAAGAGGGAUCCCAGUGUUCAGCAUGCCCCUGCAUUGUGAUGGAAUCAUUCUGAUCCCUUGCACGACGGGACGGAUAUUUCUGUGUAACCCAACAACCAGAGAGUUUGUUGAAUUGCCACGUGGAAGCUGUAAUGUCGCCGGGGGGGCAUAGGGUCGCCUUUGGUCGUGACCCUUGUACUGGCAAGUAUAAGGUUGCUAGGCACUUCUUCCGCUCAUACGCCGAAACCCCACAGGAAGAUGGGGAAGGCACGAUUCUAGAAUACAGUGCUGGGCAUGAGAUCUUGACCAUUGGUGCUGGAGUAGAUGCAUGGAAAUGGAAGGCGACCAUGGAUCCACCUUAUGCUAUCAAUGCCAGGACUCCAAUUUGUCUUCCUGGGUUAUUCUAUUGGAGCGCUCUCCACUCCAUCACGGGCCAUGGCCAUAACAAGGGUUUUCUAAGCAACAAUGACACGUAGUGCGAGCUUGGUGGCAAGUUAUGCUAUGUCCACUCUUCCUCACCAUGGAAUGUGGACAUUUGGUUGGCAGAGGAUGGACCAAACCUUGCUUGGCUUGCCGUCUCCGCUUGCCCCUGCCAAGGCUGUUUACCGUUUUUGCUUGUGCUUCGGCUGAUAGAGACAAGAUAUUUCUGUCCAUUGAUGCCAGUUACCUCUUGAAAUGUGAUCUACGUAAUGGAUCAGUUGAGAAAAUAAUCGACAUGGCAGACUUGGUGUACGACAAUCAGGAUGGAACAAAAUUCUGCACGGGUGUGCAUUCUGUUGUACACUACAUGGUUCCUUGUGUGGAAUCACUUUUGCGUAUUAGACCAUGGUAAUAUUGAGCAAGCAGAUAUUGUAUGGGAUCAAUAAUAGCUGUAAGCUUAGAUGCACCUUGCCCUUGUGGAGAAAUGGUGAACCAAAAAGUAAUGUUCAUCACUUCAUCUAAUCCAUUCUACUGUAUGUGGGCUAAUUUUCGGACACUUGGACCAAAAGGUAAUGUUCAUCUGAUCCAUUCUACUGUAUGUGGGCUAAUUUUCGGACACUAUCCAGCAAUGCAAGGUACGGUACCUGAAUCUCAGUUUUUAUGGCUCUGAGCCUGAACGACUUGGGAUUGAUCUGAACUGGAACCAGGAGGAGCCAAACGAGUUCCCCGUCCUGGCCCAGGAGCUGCCGGAGGUGGCCAGCAUGCCCGGGCGGACGGUGUUCCUGACGUCGGUGAAUGAGUCGUGGGCGCCGCCGAUGAUUAUUAUUGCUGGGCCCGUUUGGUAUCAGAGAAUGAGACUCCCUCGAAAGAAUCCGAUGGGAACGAUUAGGCCUUGUUUAGUUUGCGAAUUUUUUUGAUUUCGACUACCCUAGCAUUUUCAUUUGUAUUUUGAUAAU